AUUAUCUCAAUUUUCUCAGUGUCCACUAAAGAUGCUUUCAUGCCUUCACCCACAACAACAGGAAGCUGUCUAGGGAACAUAACACCCACAUUCCUAAGAGGAGGGCACCCAUUUACUUCAGAAAAGAUGAUGGGCAUCAAAGAUCCUCCAUAUGGAGUUUGCUUUUAAUAUAGCAAAACUAGCCAUUUGGACAAGAAACUGUCCUUGCUUUGACUGCUGAGUGUAUACCAUCCAAAGUGGACAUGCAGUAUACAUAGGAAAGCAGCUACUGAACUUCACAAAAACAAGUCAGGACAAUCAUUCAAACUCCCUGCUCCGCAGAAAAGGCUGUCAGAUAUUCUGGACCCAUAGGCCUAAGAUGGAUGCCCCAGUGAUGAAGAGGAACUUUGGUUGACUGUCAUUUCUAUAGUUUUGAAAGUGGCUUGCAAUUUACUUUCUGUUUACUCAAGUAAUAUUACAUCCUUCUGGGGUCUUUAACAGAGACGGUUAUAGUUAAAGUUUUCCUUAAUUAUGAUAGAAGUAAAUCAUGUACAAAAUUUUGGAUUUGUUAGGAUAGGAUAAACACUGGAGCAUUGGAGUAUUUUCUCUGAAUUCACCAAAUAAAAAUGGACUGGAUAUUGUAAAUGUAAUUCUUACUUGAUAAUUGUUCUUAUUGUAUAUAGUCUUACUAUGUUAAAGCUAAAUGUUAUGGGAUAUUUCUUUAACUAGGCAAAGGCAUGUUACAUCUAGGUUGCAGAAUAUUACCUUAACUAUGUAAAAAUGUGUUACAUUUGUUUUUGCUGCAUUUGUUAAUUAUGUAAAGAUGUGUGGCUGUUACACUUUGCCUGCCUAAGGAACCUGAUUGGUCUAAUAAAAAGCUAAAUUGCUAAUAGCUAGGCAGUAGAGGCAUGGUUUGGAUUAGCAGACAGAGAGAAUAAGAGGAG
rnacentral:lncRNA from 1 species